rnacentral:rRNA from 1 species
CCCUUAGACGUUCUGGGCCGCACGCGCGCUACACUGACCAGUGCAACAAGCAUCCGUCCUUGGCCGACAGGCUCGGGCAAUCUUUGAACGCUGGUCGUGAUGGGGAUAGACUUUUGCAAUUUUUGGUCUUCAACGAGGAAUUCCUAGUAAACGCAAGUCAUCAACUUGCAUUGAUUACGUCCCUGCCCUUUGUACACACCGCCCGUCGCACCUACCGAUUGAAUGGUCCGGUGAAUCUUUAGGACUGUGGCUGAGGCCUUGCCUUGUGCGGGUCUGGCCGUGGGAAUUUAGUUAAACCUUACCAUUUAGAGGAAGGUGAAGUCGUAACA